UUGGAUUGUAUCCUGCCACCAAC
rnacentral:piRNA from 1 species